GACAGGUGUGUACGGGUGAGACAGGUGUACAGGAGUGUACAGGUGUGUACAGGUGUGUCAGGAUGUACUGGCCCUGCGCGGGGGGACAGGUGUGUACGGGUGAGACAGGUGUACAGGAGUGUACAGGUGUGUACAGGUGUGUCAGGAUGUACUGGCCCUGCGCGGGGGGACAGGUGUGUACGGGUGAGACAGGUGUACAGGAGUGUACAGGUGUGUACAGGUGUGUCAGGAUGUACUGGCCCUGCGCGGGGGGACAGGUGUGUACGGGUGAGACAGGUGUACAGGAGUGUACAGGUGUGUACAGGUGUGUCAGGAUGUACUGGCCCUGCGCGGGGGGACAGGUGUGUACGGGUGAGACAGGUGUACAGGAGUGUACAGGUGUGUACAGGUGUGUCAGGAUGUACUGGCCCUGCGCGGGGGGACAGGUGUGUACGGGUGAGACAGGUGUACAGGAGUGUACAGGUGUGUACAGGUGUGUCAGGAUGUACUGGCCCUGCGCGGGGGGACAGGUGUGUACGGGUGAGACAGGUGUACAGGAGUGUACAGGUGUGUACAGGUGUGUCAGGAUGUACUGGCCCUGCGCGGGGGGACAGGUGUGUACGGGUGAGACAGGUGUACAGGAGUGUACAGGUGUGUACAGGUGUGUCAGGAUGUACUGGCCCUGCGCGGGGGGACAGGUGUGUACGGGUGAGACAGGUGUGUACGGGUGAGACAGGUGUACAGGUGUGUCAGGAUGUACUGGCCCUGCGCGGGGGGACAGGUGUGUACGGGUGAGACAGGUGUACAGGUGUGUCAGGAUGUACUGGCCCUGCGCGGGGGGACAGGUGUGUACGGGUGAGACAGGUGUACAGGUGUGUCAGGAUGUACUGGCCCUGCGCGGGGGGACAGGUGUGUACGGGUGAGACAGGUGUACAGGUGUGUCAGGAUGUACUGGCCCUGCGCGGGGGGACAGGUGUGUACGGGUGAGACAGGUGUACAGGUGUGUCAGGAUGUACUGGCCCUGCGCGGGGGGACAGGUGUGUACGGGUGAGACAGGUGUACAGGUGUGUACAGGUGUGUCAGGAUGUACUGGCCCUGCGCGGGGGGACAGGUGUGUACGGGUGAGACAGGUGUACAGGUGUGUACAGGUGAGACAGGUGUACAGGUGUGUACAGGUGUGUCAGG